rnacentral:rRNA from 1 species
GACGAACGCUGGCGGCGUGCUUAACACAUGCAAGUCGAACGGUGACCCUCGGAGCUUGCUUCGGGGUGAACAGUGGCGAACGGGUGAGUAACACGUGAGUAACCUGCCCCUGACUCUAGAAUAAGCGCUGGAAACGGCGUCUAAUACCGGAUAUGACACGAACGGGCAUCCGUAUCGUGUGGAAAGUUUUUCGGUCUGGGAUGGACUCGCGGCCUAUCAGCUUGUUGGUGAGGUAAUGGCUCACCAAGGCGAUGACGGGUAGCCGGCCUGAGAGGGCGACCGGCCACACUGGGACUGAGACACGGCCCAGACUCCUACGGGAGGCAGCAGUGGGGAAUAUUGCACAAUGGGCGAAAGCCUGAUGCAGCGACGCCGCGUGAGGGAUGACGGCCUUCGGGUUGUAAACCUCUUUCAGCAGGGAAGAAGCGAAAGUGACGGUACCUGCAGGAGAAGCACCGGCUAACUACGUGCCAGCCGCCGCGGUAAGAC